CGUCAGUUUUUAUCACUGUGAUA
rnacentral:miRNA from 14 species